rnacentral:rRNA from 1 species
UAGGGAAUCUUCCGCAAUGGGCGAAAGCCUGACGGAGCAACGCCGCGUGAGUGAUGAAGGUCUUCGGAUCGUAAAACUCUGUUAUUAGGGAAGAACAAAUGUGUAAGUAACUAUGCACGUCUUGACGGUACCUAAUCAGAAAGCCACGGCUAACUACGUGCCAGCAGCCGCGGUAAUACGUAGGUGGCAAGCCGUUAUCCGGAAUUAUUGGGCGUAAAGCGCGCGUAGGCGGUUUUUUAAGUCUGAUGUGAAAGCCCACGGCUCAACCGUGGAGGGUCAUUGGAAACUGGAAAACUUGAGUGCAGAAGAGGAAAGUGGAAUUCCAUGUGUAGCGGUGAAAUGCGCAGAGAUAUGGAGGAACACCAGUGGCGAAGGCGACUUUCUGGUCUGUAACUGACGCUGAUGUGCGAAAGCGUGGGGAUCAAACAGG